rnacentral:rRNA from 1 species
GAUGAACGCUAGCGGCAGGCCUAACACAUGCAAGUCGAGGGGUAGAGGCUUUCGGGCCUUGAGACCGGCGCACGGGUGCGUAACGCGUAUGCAAUCUGCCUUGUACUGGGGGAUAGCCCAGAGAAAUUUGGAUUAAUACUCCAUAGUAUUUUCGGUUGGCAUCAACUGAUUAUUAAAGUUUUUCAGUACAAGAUGAGCAUGCGUCCCAUUAGCUAGUUGGUAUGGUAACGGCGUACCAAGGUUACGAUGGGUAGGGGUCCUGAGAGGGAGAUCCCCCACACUGGUACUGAGACACGGACCAGACUCCUACGGGAGGCAGCAGUGAGGAAUAUUGGUCAAUGGUCGCAAGACUGAACCAGCCAUGCCGCGUGCAGGAUGAAGCAUCUAUGGUGUGUAAACUGCUUUUGUACGGGAAGAAACACUCCUACGUGUAGGAGCUUGACGGUACCGUAAGAAUAAGGAUCGGCUAACUCCGUGCCAGCCGCCGCUGUAACAC